AACGCACCUUGCACUCCUUGGUAUUCCGAGGAGUAUGCCUGUUUGAGUGUCAUGAAAUCAUCAAACCUCAUAGUUAUUUUUUUAAAUUACUUUGAGGCUUGGAUUUGGAAGUUGCUGGCAAAUGUCGGCUCUUCUUAAAUAAAUUAGCUGCUUGUCCGUGAGUUGGCUCAGAGUGUGAUAAGUAUCUACACUUGGUGGCUGCUCGCAUUGGAUGUGGCUUCUAAUCGUCUCUUGAGACAACUUUUUAAGAUCUGACCUCAAAUCAGGUAGGACUACCCGCUGAACUUAA
rnacentral:misc_RNA from 1 species